rnacentral:rRNA from 1 species
GACGAACGCUGGCGGCGUGCUUAACACAUGCAAGUCGAACGGAAAGGCCCUGCUUUUGUUGGGUGCUCGAGUGGCGAACGGGUGAGUGACACGUGUGUAACCUGCCCUUGACUUUGGGAUAACUUCAGGAAACUGGGGCGAAUACCGGAUAUGAGCUCCUGCUGCAUGGGGGGGGUUGGAAAGUUUCGGCGGUUGGGGAUGGACUCGCGGCUUAUCAGCUUGUUGGUGGGGUAGUGGCUUACCAAGGCUUUGACGGGUAGCCGGCCUGAGAGGGUGACCGGCCACAUUGGGACUGAGAUACGGCCCAGAAUCCUACGGGAGGCAGAAGUGGGGAAUAUUGCACAAUGGGCGGAAGCCUGAUGCAGCAACGCCGCGUGCGGGAUGACGGCCUUCGGGUGGUAAACCGCUUUCGACUGUGACGAAGCGUGAGUGACGGUAAUGGGUAAAGAAGCACCGGCUAACUACGUG